rnacentral:rRNA from 1 species
CGGAAUCACUGGGCUUAAAGCGCGUGUAGGCGGAUGCCUAAGUACCUUGUGAAAUCCCACGGCUUAACCGUGGAACUGCUUGGUAUACUGGGUGUCUUGAGCCACUCAGGGGCGAGCGGAACAAAUGGUGGAGCGGUGAAAUGCGUAGAUAUCAUUUGGAACGCCAAUGGUGAAAACAGCUCGCUGGGGGUGUGCUGACGCUGAGACACGAAAGCCAGGGGAGCGAACGGG